AAAUAUAGUGCCUGAUAAAAAGGGUAGCUUUGAUAGAGCUAAUUAUAAAGUCCGACUUUCUAUAUUA
rnacentral:tRNA from 1 species